UUACAGUGAAGAGUUUGAUCCUGGCUCAGGAUGAACGCUAGCUACAGGCUUAACACAUGCAAGUCGAGGGGCAGCAUUAUCGAAGCUUGCUUUGAUAGAUGGCGACCGGCGCACGGGUGAGUAACGCGUAUCCAACCUUCCCCUUAGUAGGGCAUAGCCCGUAGAAAUGCGGAUUA
rnacentral:rRNA from 1 species